GAUGAACGCUGGCGGCGUGCCUAAUACAUGCAAGUCGAGCGAACAGAUGAGGAGCUUGCUCCUAUGACGUUAGCGGCGGACGGGUGAGUAACACGUGGAUAACCUACCUAUAAGACUGGGAUAACUUCGGGAAACCGGAGCUAAUACCGGAUAAUAUAUUGAACCGCAUGGUUCAAUAGUGAAAGACGGUUUUGCUGUCACUUAUAGAUGGAUCCGCGCCGCAUUAGCUAGUUGGUAAGGUAACGGCUUACCAAGGCAACGAUGCGUAGCCGACCUGAGAGGGUGAUCGGCCACACUGGAACUGAGACACGGUCCAGACUCCUACGGGAGGCAGCAGUAGGGAAUCUUCCGCAAUGGGCGAAAGCCUGACGGAGCAACGCCGCGUGAGUGAUGAAGGUCUUCGGAUCGUAAAACUCUGUUAUUAGGGAAGAACAAAUGUGUAAGUAACUAUGCACGUCUUGACGGUACCUAAUCAGAAAGCCACGGCUAACUACGUG
rnacentral:rRNA from 1 species